AUUGAACGCUGGCGGCAGGCCUAACACAUGCAAGUCGAACGAGUGGCGGACGGGUGAGUAAUGUCUGGGAAACUGCCUGAUGGAGGGGGAUAACUACUGGAAACGGUAGCUAAUACCGCAUACCAUCAGAUGUGCCCAGAUGGGAUUAGCUAGUUGGUGGGGUAACGGCCAACCAAGGGGACGAUCCCUAGCUGGUCUGAGAGGAUGACCGUCAACAGUGGGAAUGAGACACGGUCCAGAGGCCUACGGGAGGCAGCAGUGGGGAUGAUUGCACAAUGGGGGCAAGACUGCUGCAGCCAUGCCGCGUGAAUGAAGAAGGCCUUCGGGUUGUAAAGUCCUUUCAGCGGGGGGGCGUUACCCGCAGAAGAAGCACCGGCUAACUCCGUGCCAGCAGCCGCGGUAAUAC
rnacentral:rRNA from 1 species